CCAAUAUUUCCCAAAGAAAGUCUGAAAAGAAACAACACUUCUUACCACUGAAAGAGCCCAACCCGGUAAAUAAUGCUACCUCCACAUUCACCUAAAGGAAGGUUAAUAUUUUGUCAGGCCUCCAAAAACUGAGUACAGUUGCACGGUGGUGCAUGCCAGGCCAGUGUAGCACCUCAGCCCUCACAGAUAUCAGGUACAGAACAACUCCAGGGUGAGGUCUCCACCCUCCACCCUUGAGGGCAGCAGAGCGAUCCCCUUCACGGGCAAGCAGGAGCAGCCAGCAGAAAGGACUCAUCUGACCAAGGGAUCCAUAGGAAGACCUUGAUACAGCACAUUGCAACGAUGGAUGGAAAGAAGAAAAUCCUGCCUGCAACAGAAUGUUAUUUUUUCUUCCUCUCUCCUGGCUGGUUCAUGCAAGAGGAUAGAGUCUGCUGCUCCCAGCCAAUAGAAUUAUUACUUUUUUCAGUUCAAAUGAUAAAAGCUCAUUGCUUUAGUGCUGAAGUUUGAGAUGCAGACCCGGCUGAAGACCCAAAUGGAGGAAGGAGAGGAGAGUGCUGUUACAAAUUGGCAUCCAACGUGGCAUGUGAUUUUGUAAGGACCUGUCUACAGUAGCAAACUGGUUCAUUGCCAACAGUGGGUCUGUGUCCUAAUGGCUGGGAAUUAAGGCGAUUUUUUAUGUUAGUUCUGUGCAGAGAUUUCUAGUGGUCUGGUUUAUUUGUAUUUUUGUAUCUAUUCUUCCCAAUGUCUGAUGCAUGUUUGAUUUAAACUUUGGUCUAAUGCAUUUGUAAACUGCUUUAGUUAAGAUGGCUCUAGAUGUUGUAUUAUUUUCUGUAUAUUAAUGAGGGAAGAGAAGCUCAUCCUUGUUAUUCUCUGCAGCCAUUACUGGUGCUGGAGGAAUGCCUAGUUCUGGGACAAUCUGCACCCAUUGCUAUAUUUGCUUUCCACAAGCUACUCUUAGUAUAACUUUCUGUGAGUGAUGUACUCAAAUAUUUCGAUCUUAAUAUUUUAAUGAUAUUGUUAAAUUUAUUAACCUUAAUUUAGGAUAGUGCAGAUUAUAUACAGUAUGUUUUUAUGUUUUAUAUUUUAUGACUUUUAAACCAAACUUCGUACUUUUAUAUCAUUUAAGCAUUAUACUCAGGUGUA